CGUGGCACGCACACAAUACAAUACAACGUUUUUGGAAUAAGAUUCAUUUUAGCUUGACUGCGUUCUGCUUUACGCAAAAUAUAGUAGUUUCGCCUACUAUUUUUUUAGAAAUAUAGUAUUUGAUCACUUAAAAUAGUAGGAUACUAUAAUAUUAUAUAGUAGGUUUGACAACCCUAGCGACUCAGUCGUUCUGCAGUUCCUAUGAUUUCCCGUCUUGGCUGAUGGCUCAUUCAUUUGCAACGCAGUGCGCAGAGGUAUCAUCGUGGUUUCAGCUCAGUACAUCAAAAGUGUAUGGGAAGAUAAAGGAAUAGUUAAAAAUGCUUGAAAAUUAGAGAAGUUCAUCAAAAAUCACAGCGGAACGCAGAAAAAGGAUUAGACCAGGCAUUAUUUAAUUAUCGGAUGAUCAAUGACGAAGAAUUCUACAUGACACAAACGAAGACAUUAUUUUGUUUAUUUGUAUAAAUGCAUAAAAAACUGGUGUUUAAUUAUUGAUAAGAUCCUAAAUUCCUAUCCCCUGAAAUGUAAGCUUAAACAUACUAAACAUCAUAGUGUGUUAGUAUAUUUAAGCCGAGGUAUGUUUUUUGGUAAAAAAGUAGGUGAUCUUACCAUGGGCCGUAACCGAUCACGAGUUAGGAGUAUGAUCGGUACGUGAUCUUACCCACGGUAAAUGGCACACUGACACACCGAAGUUAGCGAGGGCUGAGCGAGCGCGCGA